rnacentral:pre_miRNA from 1 species
UUAAUGCUAAUCGUGAUAGGGGUUUUUACCUCGGACUGACUCCUACAUGUUAGCAUUAACA